rnacentral:rRNA from 1 species
GACGAACGCUGGCGGCGUGCUUAACACAUGCAAGUCGAACGGUGAUCUUGAGAGCUUGCUCUUGGGUGAUCAGUGGCGAACGGGUGAGUAACACGUGAGUAACCUGCCCCUGACUCUGGAAUAACUUCGGGAAACCGAAGCUAAUACCGGAUAUGACACAGAGCCGCAUGGUUUCUGUGUGGAAAGUUUUUCGGUUGGGGAUGGACUCGCGGCCUAUCAGCUUGUUGGUGAGGUAAUGGCUCACCAAGGCGACGACGGGUAGCCGGCCUGAGAGGGCGACCGGCCACACUGGGACUGAGACACGGCCCAGACUCCUACGGGAGGCAGCAGUGGGGAAUAUUGCACAAUGGGCGAAAGCCUGAUGCAGCGACGCCGCGUGAGGGAUGAAGGCCUCGGUUGUAACUACUUCUAGUAGGAAGAAGCGCAAGUGACGGUACCUACAGAAGAAGACACCGGCUAACUACGUGCCAGCAGCCGCGGUAAUCUAGUCU